rnacentral:rRNA from 1 species
UACGUAGGGGGCAAGCGUUGUCCGGAUUUACUGGGCGUAAAGCGCGCGCAGGCGGCUUAGCAAGUCAGGGGUGAAAGCCCGGGGCUCAACCUCGGAACUGCCUUUGAGACUGCUAGGCUCGAGACCGAGAGAGGAGAGUGGAAUUCCCAGUGUAGAGGUGAAAUUCGUAGAUAUUGGGAAGAACACCAGUGGCGAAGGCGGCUCUCUGGCUCGGUACUGACGCUGAGGCGCGAAAGCGUGGGGAGCAAACAGG